rnacentral:rRNA from 1 species
GACAGAGGGUGCAAACGUUGUUCGGAAUGAUUGGGCGUAAAGCGUCCGCAGGUGGCAGUUCAAGUCUGCUGUCAAAGACCGGGGCUUAACUUCGGAAAGGCAGUGGAAACUGAACAGCUAGAGUAUGGUAGGGGCAGAGGGAAUUCCUGGUGUAGCGGUGAAAUGCGUAGAGAUCAGGAAGAACAUCGGUGGCGAAGGCGCUCUGCUGGACCAUAACUGACACUCAGGGACGAAAGCUAGGGGAGCGAAUGGG